UAGCCUUGGCCCGUUCCAACGAUUUUUCGGUAAUUAGCCUUGACCAUUCCAACGUUGUUUCAGUAAUUAGAUUUGGCCCGUACCAACGAUGUGGGCGGAGGGGCUUCCUCAUUUCAGAAAUUACCCUUGACCUGGUAAAAGUAGUCUACAAUGCUGCGUGUCAUAUAAGAAAAUCAAAUCCGAUGUCUUUCAAUUGAAGACAUCCCAUCCAGUGUUGAGGAGCUGUAUCAGGUGUUGCGAACAAAGCUUGGUCUGAGAGGUGGAUUUAUUUUGCAAUUUGAGGAUCCUGAUUUCAAUAAUCAGCUGUGCAAACUAACCGACAUCAAAGACCUUCCUGUGGGGCGGGCAACUGUGAAAGUGUUGUUCACAUCUGAUAACAUCUCAGAUUCUACACUGGACACUUGCAGCCUCCCUUCUCUUAGUAGUGGAGAUUCUGUUGAAUGGCCUGACCCCUUCCCGAUUCCACGGUUCUCACAUGAUGUGGAGCUGCAGCUGAAAGAAGCAAAUGCUAAGGACGGAUCUGUAAUGGUGAUUCCUAAAGGUUUAAAGACUGAUAUCCUUCAUACACUGACUGACAGUAUAUCAAAGAUUAGUACUUAUCCUGAGAGGCAUCACUGUGAGAAUGUAGCCAAAGCACGUGUGGAGAAGCAUCCUAGUCUGAAGGAGCCAGGGUCUGAAAAGGGAUGGUACUCAUGGUUUCACAGCCUGAAAUUUAAGCUUGGAUCUAUCGGCAAAAGUUAAGUGAAGCAGGAUGCCCUGAGGUGGUGGUAACCAAAAGAAAAGGAGGUUUGGAGGGAAAAUGUGUAAAGAAGUCAAAGAAGGGUGAGGUCAACUACUGUCCAGAUCCACCUGAAGGACAGAGUCCUGAACUGCUGAAGAGACCCUGAUCACCAGCUGGUAGAAGACCUGAUGGUUGCUACGUUUUCCCAGUGUAGAAAAGAGCUCUGUUCCAUGAGAGACAGAUCAGGGCAGAGUUCAAGAGAAUCGUCACCAAAGACCUUCUGGAAUCUUCCUCGACGGACUUGAUGGCCUGGUCCCAAGACUGCUGUAGGUGUACAAAGCAGCAACCAAGACUGGAAAGAAGCAAUCACUCAAAGAAAUUUUGGACUGCCCUCAGUAAGAUGAUACAAAUGAGAGGAGAAGGACUGCUGAUUUGCUUGGUCUGCCACACUACAUAUCAGGCAAGAUCCAUCAACUGCCGUCAGGAUGUGUGAUGCUCACACAGAGACUCUGGAUGAAGCCAUGAAGGGGAUGCAACUAGGCCUGCUGAUAGGCUAUGAAGGUGCUGAACGGGAGGCCUUUCCACGGGAGGUCUUCGAGAUAGCUGUUGUGGUUGAGGAGACCGUUGUGCUUCAUAACAUUAAAGAUGUGGCAUGCAGCUUU